AGCUUAUACCCCUUUCCACCAAACACAUUGGUCCGACCUGGGUAAUUGAAUACGGUUUCAAGCUGUAACAGCUUCAUCACAGCACCUUGAAAUCACACCACACCACACCUGGACCCGGGUUAGUUGCAAAUCUUCCCUCUGCCAGCACUUGGAGAUGAAAUCAUCUCCAAUCGCCGUUGAGCCAGCUCUCCUUAAGCUUUUAGCGUGUCCCGGGUAGAAUUACCCAUUUACCCCGCAAGUUACCUGGGUCCUUACCAGGCUUGACCCUGAUAGCUACCAAUGUCAGAUUCCUGGGUAACUGUACCAGGGUUAUUUUUCAGAGGCACUUUUACAUCAGACAUUGACUUGGGUUGCCCCGGGGUUGUUUGGUUGAAAAGGGGUAUGAUUGAGGAUGACAGCUAAACUGACUGAAGAUAGAGAACAGAGCAGAAGAGGCGCUCUAUUCCAUCCUGCUGCUUUUUCAACAUCACGCUAAUGCUGCCGUAAGGAGAUCCUGAGCUUCCUGUGCUCUAGCCAUGGUGAUGGAGAACAAGACAGCAGCAGAGCAUGGACAUCGUUCUGCAUCAGACAAACAGUGCUUCAUAACUGCAAUCAAUCAGAAGGAGGAACAACAGACAUCUGUAGAGUCUGAUUAUGGAUCCAAUCACAUCACGCUAUAGGUAACAGGAUUCUUUGACACUUUUAAAGCAAAACAUGGUCUACGGACUGACAGGACGGCUUUCCAUUUGUGUAGAACAUUUUCAGCUUUCAAAAAUAUUCAGUGUCUUUAAGUAAAAUACCAACCACUGUUUCCCAAAACCUCCGUAGAUAUAUUAAUGUCAUCUGCUUAUAACCUUUCAGCGUCAGCUUCCUACUGUUCAUUUUCAUUAAAUACAAUAACUGUUC